rnacentral:rRNA from 1 species
UACGAAGGGUGCUAGCGUUGCUCGGAAUCACUGGGCGUAAAGCGCACGUAGGCGGACUGUUACGUCAGGGGCGAAAUCCUGGAGCUCAACUCCAGAACUGCCUUUGAUACUGAGAGCCUUGAGUCCGGAAGAGGUAAGUGGAACUGCGAGUGUAGAGGUGAAAUUCGUAGAUAUUCGCAAGAACACCAGUGGCGAAGGCGACGUCCUGGUCCGGUACUGACGCUGAGGUGCGAAAGCGUGGGGAGCAAACAGG